CGUCCACAUCAAGACUCCGCCUGCCAUCUACGUCAGAUUUGGGCGCGACGUGCUCUACGUCAGCCAUGCCCCGCCCCUUGCGCUGUCAGGAUUGAGGCUUCCCCCGCCCCUCCGUGGAGUCUCCUAAGUGCUUCGCCAUGCUCCAUCCGUAAUCCGGCCACUUUGGUCCUCAAGGUUUUAGACGCGAAACUCCAUCGCUGUAGUUUGCUAUUUCCGUACCUCUCGCAGAGUCCGUCCCUGCCUUGGAACACGCGUACUGUUUUCUUUCUUCGCCUGCCGUCCCACGGAAGAGGAGGUGAAGGACCACAGUCUCAGGCAUCUUGGUUUCGUGCACUGAGGCCAAGCAGUGGGUGAAUCUGAGAUCUGUCUUCAUCACUCACCCUGGGCUGAGAGUAAGACUGAUAAAGGACUCUAGAGCUGUCGGACCGCGACAGGAAGACUGAGUCUUCACCUGAAACUCCCGUGAUCGCCUGGUGCUGCCCACCCCCAGUCUGAACACGGAGUCCACUUUUCUCAGCUACAGUGCUGUUGGCCACCGACGGUCCCAGCCUUGAGGGGUUGGCUGGUGCCAAAGCAGUCAUCCAUGGGAGGACUUCUGGUAGAAAGAAUGGUACUGUAAAAGCCCUCUCUAUAGUCAGGACCAGCUGGAUGGGCUGAAAGGAUGUGAGAGUGGUAAAAGGCUGAGCUUUACAGAGACUCCUAGAGUUUUGUCCUGAGAGCAGUAGAGGGCUCUGAAGGUUCGAAGCCACAGACUGGGUCAGAUUUGCCAUCAGACCUGGGUUUCACAAGGCAUUCUUUAACUAUGGGGCUGGGAGCACAGCCUAGAUGGUGUGGACUAAGGGAUCUUGCUUAAUAGUUCCCCAGAAUUGCUUGGAACUUGUCAUCACUUUGCCUCAGCUUCCUGAAUAGCUGGAACUACUAGUAGUGUCAGAAUGCCCAGCUCCCAGCCAAGGUCCAUAAUGGAAAACAACACCCAGACAAUGAGCUUAGCUGGUCACUGGAUUAGUCUGUUCAGGCCACCAUAACAGCAUAACACAGACUGAGCGUCUUAAUGGGAAUAUUUUCUCACUCUUCUGAAUACUGGAAAUCCAAGAUCAAAGUGUCCCAAGGUUGGUUUCUUCUGAAGCAUUUCCUUGACAUCUAGAUGGCCAUCUUUUCUAUCUUCACAAGAUCAUCCUGUGUGUAUAAGGACAACAAUUACAGAGUGGGUUAAGGGCCUAUCCUAAUGAUUUUAUUUUAACUUAAAUACCUCUAUAAAGAUCUUAUAUCCAGCCAGGCAUGAUGGUGCACACUUGUAAUCCUAGCAUUGGGGAGGCUGAGGCAGGAGGGUCACUAUGAGUUUGAGGACAGACUGGGCUACAUAAUGAGUUCAAGGCCAGCUGGAACUGCAUAGCAAGACCCUGUCUCAAUCCCACACCCAACCCCCCCAAAAAGUCUGAAGUACCAGGCAUUAGGACUUCAAUAUAUGACUGUGGGGAGAAGUUCAGUUCAUUAAUAGUAAUUAGGCAGAUUGAUGAGUUUUUUCAGUUGGCACCACCAGACUGUUAAGGACAAUUAAGAUUCUAUUGGGUCCAGAGAUAGCUUUUGGGAAACUCUUCAUCCACUGGCCAAUAAAUUCUCAGGCCAAGGAAAAUGACUUGCAGCUAAAACAGAAAAAGAGAAUUUAUGACCAUGUGGGCCUGGCUGUGACACCAGCGGUUCCCCAAGAGGAGAUUCUCUAUCAGCCCACGUGUGGGCUACACAUUUACAGAUUCUGAUUAACCCUAGAGUUCAUCAUGAACAGUCAGGGAUGGAGACAGGAUACCUUGACCAAUUUCCCAGGCCUGUGUUUCUCUGCUCUUCACACCACUCUCUCGGCCCAAAGCCAGGGCACCCUGGUGUAAAUCCAAGCCUGAGCAGGGCAGAACAUGACAAAGUAAGAUGUCAAAGAGAUGAGAGGUCCAACUUGAGCAGUGAAACAGAAAAAUAAGGCGAAUUCCUCCUUUCUGUCUUUUGUUCUAUUCAGGCCUCUACACCUAGCUGAGGCAGUAGUUUUUUUUAUUGAAAUACUGUUGUCAUCUACGAAAACCCUCUGCUGUAGCAGGGAAAUGCUUUGAAUGUGUUCCCCAAGGGUUCAGGAUCUUGCUUAAUAAUAUUUUCUGGUAAUUAGGGCAGCAGUUUGUUCUUCUGUAUACCUCCUACCAUCAUCACUUGGAGUCUCGAGUGCAAUACGUCUACCCAAUCUUGGGUGAAAUCUCCAAAAACUAUGAGCAAAUAAAAAGGAGGUAUAGCAACUGAUAUAUCUGCUAAGUAACAUGGUAUCCUUUGACAGCUGGGAAACAGAAGGAAGACCUGAGGUUCAUCAUGGCACCAUGUCAUUUAUGGGGAGACCCAGUGGGGACACAGACCUCUGUCGUGUCACCGUUCAUGGAAAACACCAUAUGAUAGCCACGAGAAAGGAUGAAGUCAAGUCACAGUAUGUCGUGAUACCACGUCUAACAUCAUACAGUGACCCAGAGGAGAAUAGAGAACUAAGUUGUGUCUUAUUGCAUCACUGUUGUAUAGCAUCCCUUCAGAAAGCCAGCAGCAGGAAAGCAGGAGUACGAUUCAGUGGCAUUAAGUACAGAGAAUCUUGAAAGCAGCAAGAGCAAAGUGACUCAUCACAUAUGAGGAGGCUCCUACAAGAUUAUCAUUGGAUAUCUCAGCAGGAAGCUUGAAGUCCACAAAGCACUGGGAUAAUAGCACUUAAUGUGAAAAAAAAAAAAAAAAACCACCACCAAUCAAGCCUAGCAAAACUGUUCUUCAGAAGUGGAGAAAUGAAGACAUUCCCAGGUAAACAAAAGCUGAAGAAACUUAUUGCUAUUAGACCUGAUUAACAAGAAAUACUAAAGGGUUCGGUGUGCAUAUUGCUGCCAGGUGCCACUGAAAAGAAAGGCAGGCUUGUAAAAACAUUAUUGUGUGUUCUUAUCUACUUUAUUCACUGGAUAUGGCACCAUGUAACUUCCAGCUCUUCUUCAAAGUCAAAAUGAACAUGAAAGGUAAAAGGUCGACUUGAUUCAGGACAUUGAGGCAGCCACAACAGCUGCAGAUACUUAUGAAAGAGAAGUGGCAAAAAUAAUGGGAUAUGAGGCCAGGGGUUUAGCUUAGUGGCGUAAGCACCUGCCUGAGGUCGUGAGUUUGACCCCCAGUACCAAAAAAAAAAAAAAAAAAAAAAGAAUAAUAGAGUAAAGGACACUCAAAGUGAGGUGUAUUUUGAGGGGAACUAAUGGCAAUGCGUCUUUUACUAUAAUAAAAUGUUUUAAUUUAAGCAUUCACUAUAGUUUGUUUUUUUGUUUUUUUUUUUUUUUUUGUCUUUUUCUUUUUUGUCAGUACCAGGGAUUGAACUCACGACCACACACUUGCAAGGCAGGCGCUUAUGCCACUGAGCUAAAUCCCCAGCCCUACAUUCACUACAGUUUUAAAACAGAUAUAUUUUUAUGAAAUAUUUGGUCCAGCUGUUAAGAUUGCACCUUCUACAGAGAACUAUGUGGCCAUAGGCGGUGCCCAUGGGUGGCGUGCAGAGUGCUGGGGACACGCACUGGUAAGUCAGUGGUGGCUUCAACCUAGUCAUCAUGCAGGGCUCAUCAGCAGACCUCUUGGGGGAGACCCUGAGCAGUCAGCAGGAUCUGCGGUUAGCUGAGAGCUGAGUGUCGGUUGCUAGAUUCUCUGGCCCUUUGCAGCUGCUCCUGGCUAUCUCAGAUAUUCACUGUGCUGAUUCCUUCCAUAUUACAUGUAGGUGGAGACAGAAAUGGGCUUCCUGGACAACAUUCUACAAGGCUGAGAAACCUGAGCCCAACAUUCUACAAGGCUGAGAAACCCAUGUCCCUCUCAGCUUCCCCACGGGAGAGAUCUUGGGCCAGGAGCAUCUCUUAGCAUCAAGCUGUGCCACCCUUAGGGCGUGGUGGUGCAGGGAAAGUGAACCUGCUCAUUUUACCUUAUCAGUACACCUGACCCUUGGAUUUUUGUUUUCAUUUUUGUUCUAAUAGGAGACUAGAACCUCCUAGAUGGUCUUUGUGGCUUCUGCAAAGUUAUUAUCAUCCAUGGGUGGUUAGAAUUUCUAUUCUGUCAUCUUACUCAUCCUAAUUACUUUAAGAGUAAGUGAAUUAAAAUAUCCAAUUAAAAGAGAUUCAUAGAAUGGAAAUAAACAUAAUCCCACCACAUGCCAUCUACAAGAGAGUAAUCUUUACAAGAGAUUAAUUUUUUUCAAGGGAUUAAUUUUAAAUGCAGACACAAGUAGUUUGAAAGUGAAAGGGUAGAAAAACAUAUUUCACGCAAACUAACCAAAACAGAGAUGUCACUAUACUAAUGUCAAAUGAAAUGGACCUUAAAUUAAAAAAAAAUUAAGAGAAAAAGACAUGUGUGUGAAUAAAAGCUUUACUACCACAAGAAAAUAUAAAAUUAUAAAUAUUUAGGCAUGUAAUCAUACCAUGUUACUAGCAAGAAACAAGAGACCUGAAGGAAGAAACCCUUAAUUCUACAAUAAUGGUUGGAGGCCUUCAUAUCCCACUUUCAAUAAUGAAUAUUUAGGGAGACAAAAACAAGAAGUCAACAAGAAACAAGCCCUCCCUGUGAACCAGGGCCAUGCAUGGAUCGGCACUGCUGGGGGCGGGGCAGCCAGGCCCCAGCCCUUUGAGCCAGCUCCUCCCAACCCAGCCCUAAGCAACCGGCUGAUCUGGAGAAACACAGGUUGCAAUGAUAGCUAUUGAGGUGAAAUAAAAUUUGAUACUUAUGGUGUUUGAUGUUUCACUGACUUUGCAGGUGUAGGGCUGGUGGUCUGAUCACCUGUUCGGAGGAUCAUGGUACUCAGCAUGGCAUCUAUGGGGGAUCUCCUUAUGAGGCUGAUAACCAUUGUUAAUUCCUUAUUGUCUUGUUUUGAAGUCCUGUAUCAUUUUCAUUGUUUUGUUGGGUUGGGUUUUAUUCUGUUUUGUUUUGUUUGAUUUUGUUAUAUCUGAUGGCAUGGGCAGCUAUUUCAAGGAUGGUAAGAUAUAUUAUGGUAGCCAUUUUGGAUUUACUAUUGUCCUCUUUUGAGGUCCUUUAUUGCAUGCAUUGUUUCAUUUUUAUUGGUUCUAUUCUGUUCUGUUUUGUUUGAUUUUUUACUGUCUGAGGAUAUAUAUGGCGAUUUUUAAGACAACAAGAGGCAUUAUGGUAACCAUUGUUGAUUUCGUAUUGUUUUGAAGUCCUGUGUCACACUGGUUUGUUUUGAUUAGCUUUGUUCUGUUUUGUUUUGCUUGGUUUUCUUCUCUUCGAAAUAAAAAAGGGUACUUAUACACAUUGGAGUACUACUCUGCUAUAAAUAAGGAUAAACUUGAGUCAUUUGUAGGAAAAUAGAUGAACCUUGUGACCAUAAUGUUAAAUGAAAUAAAUCAGACACACAAGCUUAAAAA